GAUUAAGUUAUUAAGGGCGCACGGUGGAUGCCUUGGCACUAGAAGCCGAUGAAGGACGUUACUAACGACGAUAUGCUUUGGGGAGCUGUAAGUAAGCGUUGAUCCAGAGAUUUCCGAAUGGGGAAACCCAGCAUGAGUUAUGUCAUGUUAUCGAUAUGUGAAUACAUAGCAUAUCAGAAGGCAGACCCGGAGAACUGAAACAUCUUAGUACCCGGAGGAAGAGAAAGAAAAAUCGAUUCCCUGAGUAGCGGCGAGCGAAACGGGAAGAGCCCAAACCAACAAGCUUGCUUGUUGGGGUUGUAGGACACUCUAUACGGAGUUACAAAAGUAUAUAUUAGACGAAUCAUCUGGAAAGUUGAAUCAAAGAAGGUAAUAAUCCUGUAGUCGAAAAUAUAUACUCUCUUGAGUGGAUCCUGAGUACGACGGAGCACGUGAAAUUCCGUCGGAAUCUGGGAGGACCAUCUCCUAAGGCUAAAUACUCUCUAGUGACCGAUAGUGAACCAGUACCGUGAGGGAAAGGUGAAAAGUACCCCGGAAGGGGAGUGAAAGAGAACUUGAAACCGUGUGCUUACAAGUAGUCAGAGCCCGUUAAUGGGUGAUGGCGUGCCUUUUGUAGAAUGAACCGGCGAGUUACGAUUUGAUGCAAGGUUAAGCAGCUAAUGUGGAGCCGUAGCGAAAGCGAGUCUGAAUAGGGCGUUUAGUAUUUGGUCGUAGACCCGAAACCAGGUGAUCUACCCUUGGUCAGGUUGAAGUUCAGGUAACACUGAAUGGAGGACCGAACCGACUUACGUUGAAAAGUGAGCGGAUGAACUGAGGGUAGCGGAGAAAUUCCAAUCGAACUUGGAGAUAGCUGGUUCUCUCCGAAAUAGCUUUAGGGCUAGCCUCAAGUGAUGAUUAUUGGAGGUAGAGCACUGUUUGGACGAGGGGCCCUUCUCGGGUUACCGAAUUCAGACAAACUCCGAAUGCCAAUCAAUUUAACUUGGGAGUCAGAACAUGGGUGAUAAGGUCCGUGUUCGAAAGGGAAACAGCCCAGACCACCAGCUAAGGUCCCAAAAUAUAUGUUAAGUGGAAAAGGAUGUGGCGUUGCCCAGACAACUAGGAUGUUGGCUUAGAAGCAGCCAUCAUUUAAAGAGUGCGUAAUAGCUCACUAGUCGAGUGACACUGCGCCGAAAAUGUACCGGGGCUAAACAUAUUACCGAAGCUGUGGAUUGUCCGUAGGACAAUGGUAGGAGAGCGUUCUAAGGGCGUCGAAGCAUGAUCGCAAGGACAUGUGGAGCGCUUAGAAGUGAGAAUGCCGGUGUGAGUAGCGAAAGACGGGUGAGAAUCCCG
rnacentral:rRNA from 1 species